rnacentral:rRNA from 1 species
CGUAGGUAACCUGCCUGGUAGCGGGGGAUAACUAUUGGAAACGAUAGCUAAUACCGCAUAACAGUAGAUGUUGCAUGGCAUUUGCUUAAAAGGUGCAAUUGCAUCACUACCAGAUGGACCUGCGUUGUAUUAGCUAGUUGGUGGGGUAACGGCUCACCAAGGCGACGAUACAUAGCCGACCUGAGAGGGUGAUCGGCCACACUGGGACUGAGACACGGCCCAG